rnacentral:lncRNA from 1 species
UCACUCUCCUUGGCCCCAUGCCUGGGGCACCCUCAUAGACUCUACUCUUUUCUUACUGCUGUUCCAGAGUCCUGCUGCUGUUCUAGCUGUGGAGAAACGGUGGGGGUUGUGUCUGUGCUGAUGGCAGCCACGACUUGUUCUCCAGUUGCUUUCUGUGACAGUGGAUGUCCCUGUAAUGAACAAACCUCCUCCGGCUCUGGAUCGGUCAGCUUGAAAGGAGAAUCCAGCCAACGGGAGCAGGACCAUCCAGAGCGGAGAUGGAGGCAAUCAGCCCCAGGGAACACAGAUCCAGGUGGCUGCUUUUCAGAUGCCCAAGGGCUGGACCUGCAGUCUUUGGGCCACACAGGCCUGAUGCUUCUGCCUUGCUGUCCCAUCUCUCCAUGUCUUAGGGCCAUAUCACCGGUCCUCUGCACCUUCGCCGAUGGGAGGAAAGGACCUGAAAGCUCGCUUCGGUCAGGACACUGACUAUUCAGAGCAGGAGAACUACCUAACAGGAGGCUGAAGCUGAAACCCCAAAAGCCAUUGACUUGAUGUUUGUCUCUCAUUUGACUUCCUGUUAUCUUGAUGCCCAUCACAUUCCACCCAUGUCCCUUGGGUUCAGAUUAGAACCAGUCCAGCUAUUUCUUUGGGACUGAAAGAAAGGGUUAAUAAUCCUGAAUAAGAUGAUAUCAUUAUUUCAGGACCAUCAGAGGAUAAGGCAAGAAAUGAAUAAAAAGCUUCCAUCGCAGAUAGACUUCACAGCUCUGAGAGUGAGGUCUGUUUCUCAUCUGAUUCAUUUUCUCACACUAGACUGUCUGUGUCCUUUCCACUUGCUGCGGCGUGGGAUUGAGGUGGGAUCGAGGAAGAGAAAGAUUCAAUAGCAGGCAGAAAGCUGGUCUGGUUUUUCAUGUCCUUUGUAAACACAAUGUCAUUGAGACUAUCUUGAUCUUAGACUACUUGUUUGUUUGGAAAACAGAUGUGGGUAUACUGCACUCAUAAUCCUUCACUGUCACACAUUAUUAUAAAGUCAUUUUAGCAGAACACUUAAAAAAUGCAUUCCUUUGUUGCAAGAGGAAUUAAGAAAAAAACUUUGUGAAGCAAUUUCAUUGCUUUCUUCUGACACUGAGUGCCAGAGUUGGAAGACUUAGGAAAUCAUUUAUUGUAAUAGGGUCCUUGUGGCUAAUGCAGUUGUAUCACAGUGUGUUGGGGCUGCCUGUUUUGCAUUGCAAAUUUGAGCCUUUGUUUAGCUACUUGAAAUUCUGAAUCUUUGCAAGGACAAUCUUGCUCCUAAGCAAGCUCAGUUUGCUGUCUGAGUUCCUAGGCAUCAGACAUCUAGCCAUUACAGUGAAAAAGGUUUAGCAGAGAUCGGCCACCCCGGACAUGGGAGUCUGACCAUCCUGCCUGGGAUGCCACUUUCUAGUCUGGCAAUUGCUGUCAUCAUCAUCGUGUACCCGCCCCUCCCCAGCUUUGUGCCACCAUUGCUUGGCUCCUUCCUCGGGCCUUGCCACCUUUACAUCUCUCCUUUACCAAAGAUAAAGGUGGAUAGAGAAGGGUGGCUUUUCUUGCCCUCAUAUGGGCCUGGCACUAUGGGGUCUGGAGUCUUCUGUCAGCCCCCUGAAGUGGUACCCCACCAUGCCAAAAGCUCUGUCCCCACCCACAUCCCCACUUGCCCAGACAGGUUGUUACAGUGUUGAAAGCCGCAGCUCCACCUGCUGCAGAGCACAAGUGCUUCAGAAAGACAGGGAACUCAGUCUCCCAAAGCAUAUGGUUUCUGCUUCCACAGUCACAUUCUGAGCAUUUGUAUUGGUAGGAAGUGAUAUUCUGUCUUUCUGGUGAUUUAAGAGGCUUGACUUUUCAUUGGAUUUUUCCUCAGAUAAGGUAAGGAAGUUCUUUUUCCAGCUUGUGACAGCUUGCCGUGAGUGAGUUUUUUAAUGUAGUUUUAACUGAAGCUGUGAGUUUUUCAAACCUGGCAAAUAAUGUAAAACAGGCUUUGCAAGAGAUUACCAAGAGGAGUUCCCUCUUCAUUUUCAAUGAGAAGACUGCCUUGAGGUUUGGUGAGAGUUUGGAUGUCAUGACAUGCAAACUCUGACUGAGUCCCUCAUAGACCCUUGGUGGAGUUUAGGGAGAGCAAAGAAAUUCUGAUCCCUUGAAGGGUGAAAUUCUAAAAUUAAUUCCAAAGAUUUUGAGUUGACAAUUUUUUUGAGGAUUGAAUCAACCCCACUAGCUAUAUUCCCGGUUCCAGAACUGGACAGCCUAAGUCCGUCCUGUUGUUUAGUUUAGCUAGAUAGAGAAACUUACGGCUCCGGAUUUUAUGAGAAGCAGUUUGCCUAGUGGGAAUAGCGAAGUCCUGGGAGUCGGGGGGGUCUGGGUUCUAAUCCUGGCUUUGCCACUUGCCUGCAGUGUGACCUGGGGCAAGUGAGUUAACUUCUUCAUGCUUGUUUCCUCAUCUGUUAAAAUGGUGAUGUAAAUGAUGAUCUGUAAAAUGGUAUUCUCCUUCCUUCUUAGACUCUGAAGCCCCCUGUGGGAGAGGGACUGCAUCCAAUCUGACUGUCUUGUAUCUACCCCAGCACUUAGUACAGUGCUUAGCACAUAGGCAUGUAUCAAAUAUUGUUAUUAUUAUCAUUAUUAGGGUAACAUAAUGUCUUCAAAUGCUGAAGCUUGAAUUUAAAAAAUCAGAAAUCAUUUUGGCAAUUAAUAACAGUGUCCUCAUUAACUGAAGGCAUUUGGGGAAAAACAGGUGAGGUGUGGCUGGCCUGUUUCAUGCAUAGAUCAUAUUUUCAUGCAUCCUGAUUAGCUGUAUGAAUCAUAUAGUGGGAAUUUGACUCUAAAAUAAAUAGUAUACAACUUUUCUGAGCCAUUAUAAAGUAAUGAUGAUGUCAAUGAAUACGAAUAAAAAAUAGAAUACCAUUUUUUUCAAAAAUGAUCAAAGUGAUCCUGUCCAGUUCAAAUCUCAGUGAAAUGACAGAGCACAUUUUAAUAGGAAGGGAUGUCAAUAUUCAGGAAUAAUGGAAAUAUAAUCAAUGAACAAGAGCUUUACUUUUUUGAUGAAUUUCAAUUUGAUUUUGGUAAAGUAGUGACUGAGUCUAAAGAAUUAUGCUUGCAAAUUACUUCAAAUUGGCUAAGCUAUUAGCACUGCACAUGAAUGGAAAAUUGGCCCAAUAGCUGUCCUAAAUACUUAACUAUUUUUCAUUAUAAUUUUCUCUAUCCUUUUUUGCCUAUAGUAAAAGGCUAAUGAAAUAUGGAUAAGAACCCCUUCUACUGGGAGGUAUCAAAUAAGGGUACAGAAGAAUUCAUUAUUGAGCCUAGCUUUAAUAAUAUCUUAAGUACCGAGUUGAAAUAUAGGAGAAAUUGUCCAGGUUGUUGAGGGAUUUGCCAGAAGAAAUGAAAAAUGGAAAUGCAGUAAACUCAGUUAUACAAAGAGACCUAGAAAAAUCAGAAACGGGUGAGAUUCGGUCAGAAAGACAGAGAGGAAUAGUGAAGUCUACAGUCAUGAAGACUCAAAAUGACCAAACUUCCAAGACUCUGGAAGUUCAGAGCAAUGUUCGUUUUGAAAUGAAAAUGAUCCUGAAUGGUUUGUGGUACAGACUUGGGGAAACUUUUGAAAAAAACCCUAAAUCUCUUCUUCCACGAGAGAUGGGGAAAAUGUGGCUAAAAUAAAAGCUUCUUCAUAGACUACCCUUUUGUUCAUCCUUAAAUAAAAGACGUUUGGGGUAAAAUUUGGGUUGAAGCUGUAGUAUAGACUUGGGGAUAAUUUUAAAGGAAGCCCCUUGAUUCCGGAAAAAGGUGGCUAAAAAAAACCCCAACCUUUUUUCCAUGGGUUCUCAUUUCUAAGCACAUUACAUAUAAGUCCAGAGGUGCAAAUGGAUUUUAUGUUUGAAACUGUUUAUUUGCUUCUGAUUCGAUACUGAGACUUAUUCAGGCAGCAUGUAGCAGCUACCAUAUGGAGAGAGCUGGGGGCAGAGCUGUUUCUCUCCCAUUGCAUGUGGGGCUGAUCAGGCCAUAGCCAAGUGCCUCACCCCUCAAGCCACCAGGACUGUCAAGUGUCUGCACAGUCAGCCUUCUCUGAUGAGAACUGUUCCAGAUAGGAGAGAGAAGUAGCAUGGACUAGUGGAA